rnacentral:rRNA from 1 species
GAGUUUGAUCCUGGCUCAGGAUGAACGCUAGCGGCAGGCUUAACACAUGCAAGUCGAGGGGUAGAAGCAGCUUGCUGCUUUGAGACCGGCGCACGGGUGCGUAACGCGUAUACAAUCUACCUUUUACAGAGGGAUAGCCCAGAGAAAUUUGGAUUAAUACCUCAUGGUAUUUUCGAAUCGCAUGGUUUGAUUAUUAAAGUUCCAACGGUAAAAGAUGAGUAUGCGUCCCAUUAGCUAGAUGGUAAGGUAACGGCUUACCAUGGCAACGAUGGGUAGGGGUCCUGAGAGGGAGAUCCCCCACACUGGUACUGAGACACGGACCAGACUCCUACGGGAGGCAGCAGUGAGGGAUAUUGGACAAUGGGCGCAAGCCUGAUCCAGCCAUGCCGCGUGCAGGAAGACGGUCCUAUGGAUUGUAAACUGCUUUUAUACAGGAAGAAACACACCCUCGUGAGGGUACUUGACGGUACUGUAUGAAUAAGCAUCGGCUAACUCCGUGCCAGCAGCCGCGGUAAUACGGAGGAUGCAAGCGUUAUCCGGAAUCCUUGGGUUUAAAGGGUCC